ensembl:misc_RNA Metazoa_SRP Metazoan signal recognition particle RNA
GCCGGGCGCGGUGGUGCGUGCCUGUUGUCCCAGCUACUUGGGAGGCUGAGGUGGGAGAAUCGUUUGAGCCCAGGAGUUCUGGGCUGUGCCGAUCAGGUGUCCACACUAAGUUCAGCAUCAAUGUGGUGAACCCCCGGGAGCAGGGACCACCAGGUUGCCUAAGGAGGACUGAACUGGCCCAGGUCGGAAAUGGAGCAGGUCAAAACUCCCAUGCUGAUCAGUAAGUAUUGGGAUCGCGCCUGUGAAUAGCCACUGCACUCCAGCCUGGGCAACAUAGCGAGACCCUGUCUCUU